UCCUACGGGGCGCAGCAGUGGGGAAUAUUGGGCAAUGGGCGCAAGCCUGACCCAGCAACGCCGCGUGAAGGAAGAAGGCUUUCGGGUUGUAAACUUCUUUUCUCAGGGACGAAGCAAGUGACGGUACCUGAGGAAUAAGCCACGGCUAACUACGUGCCAGCAGCCGCGGUAAUACGUAGGGGGCGAGCGUUAUCCGGAUUUACUGGGUGUAAAGGGAGCGUAGACGGUUCUGCAAGUCUGAAGUGAAAGCCCGUGGCUUAACCGCGGAACGGCUUUGGAAACUGUGGAACUGGAGUGCUGGAGAG
rnacentral:rRNA from 1 species